rnacentral:rRNA from 1 species
GACGAACGCUGGCGGCGUGCCUAAUACAUGCAAGUCGAACGCUUCUUUCCUCCCGAGUGCUUGCACUCAAUUGGAAAGAGGAGUGGCGGACGGGUGAGUAACACGUGGGUAACCUACCCAUCAGAGGGGGAUAACACUUGGAAACAGGUGCUAAUACCGCAUAACAGUUUAUGCCGCAUGGCAUAAAGAGUGAAAGGCGCUUUCGGGUGUCGCUGAUGGAUGGACCCGCGGUGCAUUAGCUAGUUGGUGAGGUAACGGCUCACCAAGGCCACGAUGCAUAGCCGACCUGAGAGGGUGAUCGGCCACACUGGGACUGAGACACGGCCCAG